CCUUACAAUGGUGAAUAACAUCAUCCUGACCCGCUUUUACUUUUGGACUCUGGGUUUGCAGCGGGACAUGGAGGGAACGAUCCUGAACUCUUGUCUCAAAAUGAUUGAGAAGAGAGUAGAGAACCUGUUUGCUGCAGACAGUUGUCAUUUCCUCUUGGUUCCCACCAUCAUC